rnacentral:lncRNA from 1 species
ACCAACGCCACCUCCACUGGACGCUACGCUUCUGCGAUCUGCCCGUCCCCGGUGCUUGCUACCGAUGCCAGUUUCCGCCGGUGCCUGACGCCUGCUGCAGCCACCGCCGCCCAAGCGACGCCCCUGCUCUGUUCACGAUCUGGCCAAGUCCUCUCGCCCGCGAGCCCCACCGCGCACCACUGCCGCCCUGCUGAUCCGACUGCGACGAUCUCACGUUUCCUCCUCACCCGCGCUUCGCCGACGCUUGCCCGCCGCCGCGCCGGCCAGCCUCUGCUCCUUGAUCGCCAGCUACAGCACCACCUCCGAGCCUCCUUCUGGCGAACCUAGCAGCUGCCCCUCGCUGGUCGACGCCUCAGCUCCGAACCCGCAGCCCGCCGGCCUUCGCCCGAGCACCAGCAGCACCGCCGUCCGCCAGCCUGCGCCCGACGCCAACUGGUCUGCCCGCUGCUGGUCCGGCCAUCCGUCACUGCGUUGGCGCGCCCACACCCACCGCGGUUGCUAC